rnacentral:rRNA from 1 species
GACGAACGCUGGCGGCGUGCCUAAUACAUGCAAGUUGAGCGCUGAAGGUUGGUACUUGUACCAACUGGAUGAGCAGCGAACGGGUGAGUAACGCGUGGGGAAUCUGCCUUUGAGCGGGGGACAACAUUUGGAAACGAAUGCUAAUACCGCAUAAAAACUUUAAACACAAGUUUUAAGUUUGAAAGAUGCAAUUGCAUCACUCAAAGAUGAUCCCGCGUUGUAUUAGCUAGUUGGUGAGGUAAAGGCUCACCAAGGCGAUGAUACAUAGCCGACCUGAGAGGGUGAUCGGCCACAUUGGGACUGAGACACGGCCCAAACUCCUACGGGAGGCAGCAGGAGGGAAUCUUCGGCAAUGGACGAAAGUCUGACCGAGCAACGCCGCGGGAGUGAAGAAGGGUUUCGGAUCGUAAAACUCUGUUGGUAGAGAAGAACGUUGGUGAGAGUGGAAAGCUCAUCAAGUGACGGUAACUACACAGAAAGGGACGGCUAACUACGUG